CUGAACUGGAUCAAAAAGUACUAAGAAGUUUCAAAAGCUCAAGAUUGUCAAAAUCGGGCCAGAUUGCAGAAUUCUGAAAUGCGAGGAUGCAACUAGAUGUGAAAAAAGGAGGCGAUUGAAUACUUUCUUAAUAACCUUUGUGAAAAGUAUGAGGGAAAAAAGCAUUCGUACUUCUGUUACUAUGAUUCAUGGUAAAACUAUUGACGAUUCUUAUUGAUACACUCUUGCAUGGACCCAAUCAAUUUGAAGAUAUUCAUAAUUUGUAAAAACGUUAAAUAUGUUAUAUUCCCAAUGCGAUCAAAAUGAUGGAAUAUUCUUACUUUCCAAGGAGCUGGAGAAAUUGAAUUGUAUAGUUAUUAAGGGACAUUAAGAAAUUUUGAUUUCAUUUACCACUAUUUGUACUUGCAAUUGACAAUAUUGCUUUCUCUACAAAAUAAAUAAAAUGAUUGAUGUGUUAAAAUGAAA
rnacentral:lncRNA from 1 species